rnacentral:rRNA from 1 species
UACGGGAGGCAGCAGUGGGGAAUAUUGCACAAUGGGCGCAAGCCUGAUGCAGCCAUGCCGCGUGUAUGAAAAAGGCCUUCGGGUUGUAAAGUACUUUCAGUCGUGAGGAAGGUGUUAAGGUUAAUAACCUUAGCAAUUGACGUUAGCGACAGAAGAAGCACCGGCUAACUCCGUGCCAGCAGCCGCGGUAAUACGGAGGGUGCGAGCGUUAAUCGGAAUUACUGGGCGUAAAGGGCACGCAGGCGGUUAAUUAAGUUGGAUGUGAAAUCCCCGGGCUUAACCUGGGAAUGGCAUUCAAGACUGGUUAGCUAGAGUCUUGUAGAGGGGGUAGAAUUCCAUGUGUAGCGGUGAAAUGCGUAGAGAUGUGGAGGAAUACCGGUGGCGAAGGCGGCCCCUGGGACAAAGGCUGACGCUCAUGUGCGAAAGCGUGGGGAGCAAAC